UGUAUUCAAGUCCCCAGACUCUGGCUUGUUGGAAGAGAUUAUUCAUGGGUUUCUUCCAAAACCCUUGUCCAAGAGAUGCGACCCUCCAAAAAACAAAGACCAAUCUUCCUCAGAUUUCUGAUAUGUAGGUUGCCCAACCUUUUGAAGGGUUGAAGAAAGGGAUAAAAGAACGAGCAUUUCGAUUUGUCGUUUGAUUACUAAGGGGCUCCGCAGCAGUUAGAGAAUCUCAACAGGGCCAGAAAAAUAAAUUUGUUUCUACCGUUCCCUUCUCUGACUCGCAGGUCCUCCCGGUGUGGGUAAAACAACACUGAUUAUGAGAGUUAUUGAAGCCCUAAAAGCCUCUAACCCCAGCUUGAAAGUUCAAGGCUUUUGCAGUUGUGUUGAGCAAGACUAGGCGGUGAGAAUGUGGGGCUAGGAAAUCUAUAAGGAGCAUGUCAUAAAUAAAUUUUCUUCAUAUUAAAUAAGUGCAACAGCACAAGAAAUAUUUGUUUUGAAUCUGGUUACUCAUAUGAUAUUAUUUUUGAAGCUUU